AGUGAAAGGCUGAAAACGCGUGAGAGGGGAGGGGCGAGAGGUGGCUCUAUUUCUCUUUCCUUAUUUGCUCGCCUUUCCUCUCCCUAUCAAGAUCAGGAGGUCUCAGGACUCUUAUGAGGUGUUCGUCGUGACGAUGAAGGAGAGCUGAUAUUUUUUUCUCUGCCUGUUCUUUAUGGGGCUUUUGUUCUGAUCUGAGAUUCUUAUCGUCCGUUCAAGAUCCCGUAACCGAGAGCAUUUGAUUACGAGCAAAACUACUGAAUUUUUUGGACGUGUUUGGACCUGCUGUUCCAAGAGAUGCAUGUCUACCAUGGUUGUGCUCCAGCAGAACCUCCAGUGCCCUUUCAUUGCCCACUGGGCAAGUCUCUCUUGGUGUUAUGGAAAAGGAUGUGAAAGGCAGACUCCUAAUAUGGAACUGUAGUCCUCUAAACUUAGAAGCAUCAAGGCAACCCACCUAGCAAGGCAUACAGAGCCCUUGGAAGCUUCCUUACAUCAUGCCUUCUUUAGGUCACCUGGUCCCCUUUUCCUGUUAUUAGAUUUUAUUGCUGUAUAUCCGAUGAAAGAUGUUAUUGUUGUAUUUACCAUGUUCUCCGGCAAGUGAAACUCCUGGACAUUGGUUGUAUUGUGUUACUAAGAAA